AGAGAGAGACAUGCGCGCAUAUCAAUAAGCGGAGGAAAAGAAACUAACAAGGAUUCCCCUAGUAACGGCGAGUGAAGCGGGAAGAGCUCAAAUUUGAAAUCUUAAAGGGUUUCCCUUUACGAAUUGUAGUUUAAAGAAGUGUUUUCUGUUGAGGUUUUGGUAAAAGUUCUUUGGAAUAGGACAUCAUAGAGGGUGAGAAUCCCGUAUUUGACCUUUACUUUCAACUUUGUGAUACACUUUCAAAGAGUCGGAUUGUUUGGGAAUGCAGUCCAAAAUGGGUGGUAAAUUUCAUCUAAAGCUAAAUAUUGGCGAGAGACCGAUAGCGAACAAGUACCGUGAGGGAAAGAUGAAAAGAACUUUGAAAAGAGAGUUAAACAGUACGUGAAAUUGUCAAAAGGGAAGCGUUUGACACCAGUGUUGUUUUUCUGAAAAUCAAUUAAAGAACUGUUUAUGCUAAGUUGUUUAGACUUUAUCAGCUAACUGUUUAGUUUUGAGCUAUUCUUUAAUGCACUUUUCAGUUAACAAGUCAACAUCAAUUUCUUUUGCUGUAAAAAAGCUUGAGGAAGGUGGCUUGAGAUUCGUCUUAAGUGUUUAUAGCCUCUUGCCUAUGCAGUCGGAGAGAUUGAGGUCUGCAGCGUAGAUCCUUCGGGGCUAAAUGCAUUUGUGCUAAGUUAUAGCAUUUUAUAGACAACUUGUUGACUAUGAUUUGUCUUGUAGCUUACUCGCUUAUGUUAUUUUACCUACGCUUAGGAUGUUGAAGACUCUACAGAGAUA
rnacentral:rRNA from 1 species